rnacentral:rRNA from 1 species
AUGCAACGGCAAGAGGAGUCCAGCGAGGACAUCGUGAUCGUGGGAGCCGGGCUCGCCCCCGCGCUCGGGCUGCACAUGAAAGGGGUGAGGAGCGUGGUGCUGGAGUCAUCCCCGGCGCUCCGGGCCUCGGGGUUCGCCUUCGCCACCUGGCCCGACGCCUUCUGCGCGCUCGAUGCCCUCGGCAUCGGCGACCAGAUCAGAAAGCUCCACCUGCACAUCCAAGGGCUGCGCGUCAUGUCGGUGUCCACGGGUGAGAUAGCGAAGGAAGUGGACUUCAGGGACGAGUUCCGCUGCGUCAGGCGUGAUGUGCUGCUGUAG